UCCUGGUUAACCCAGGCAGUCUCAUUAGAGUUCCCACCAUUACGUGUUGGCAACUAAUGACAAGGGUUGCGCUCGUUGCGGGACUUAACCCAACACCUCACGGCACGAGCUGACGACAGCCAUGCAGCACCUGUGCAGAGACUCUUACGAGAGACGCCGUUUCUGGCGCUGUCCUCUGCAUGUCAAACCUGGGUAAGGUUCUUCGCGUUGCAUCGAAUUAAACCACAUGCUCCACUGCUUGUGCGGGUCCCCGUCAAUUCUUUUGAGUUUCACCCUUGCGAGCGUACUCCCCAGGCGGUAUACUUAACGCGUUCGCUACGGCACAGCCAGGGUUGAGUCCGGCUACACCUAGUAUACAUCGUUUACGGCAAGGACUAC
rnacentral:misc_RNA from 1 species